UUUAUGUAGUGGUGGAGGGAGGAAGCAUUCUCUCUGAGAAUCAUCUUGUCAGAACCAUCUGGCUGGGGGCGGUGCACAAGAACCAUCUGCUGGGAGCCUCAUUUCCAUCCUGUUCCUUAAAUGCAAACUUUUGACGUUAUCCAUAAAUGAAGUCACACACACAAUCACUGCAAUGUGGGUACACGAAAUGUGUUAUUUUGACAAGAGUUAACAUUUAACAUACUCAAAUUCAUUUAUUUUGCAAUUGACUUAUGGUAUUUCUCCAUUUUCGAAUAUACUAGAAGUCAAAAACAGAAAAAAAAAUGAGCCUCAUGUUUUUCAACCUUCAACCUUCAAGGAUCUAGAGGGGAGGAAAUGAAAACAUCUGCCUUCAUAAAGGUGCUGCUCUUUCCUUCCAGGAUUCCCCAGGGCAUCCUUGGAGUGCCCCCAGUUUGAAUUGGAGAUAAAAGGUAUGGUCUUGUUGAAAUUGCCCCCAAAUUGAGCUGCACCUUCCAAUUGAGGCAGAAAGAAUCGCCUUUUGAUACGUUCCACAAUUGGAAUGCAAAUUCUCUCCCAUCUCCUAGACACCUGGGCCUGCCCCCAUUUUUCUUGACUGUAAUCUGUUUAGCUUGUGCAUAAAAUGGCAAAAACAAAGAGUCUUUCUGUAAAAGAAAAAGAAGAGGAAAGAAAGUAGAUUCUGUGUCCUCUUCCUUAGUCCUUGCCAAAUCUUUGCUCCCAGGCCUCGGCAGGUGGCAGUGUACAUGAGUCAUGCAGUCUAUCUUUCUGUUUUGUUUGUUAUUAACCACUGAAAUGAUGGCACCAUUCCUGGAGUUAGGCCUUCAACCAAAGAGCUGGGCCAUCCGUGGCAAUGCCUCCCAGGCUUGGGAGCUGGGAAAAGGCCCCAGGAGCUAGGGCAUCCUGAUUGUUCUUUCAAAGAAAUCCCUCUUGUUCUUAGUCAACAUGCUGGAUACCAGCUAAAAAAUGCAAAAUGAUCUUCAGGCAGGGAUGGCACAGGACCCUUGCUGAGCUGUGAAGCCUGGCUGUGAGGAUUCCUGCAUGGAAACAUCAACAUGUUGCCAGAUUGGUAUACGACUCAACACCACACUGACAUGCUGCUCCCAAACAGUGCCUUUGAAUCAAGACCCAGUCAUCGUAUUCGAAGAAAAAGGAAAUAUCCCUGACCAUGUUGGGACUUAACACUGCUUCACAGAGCUACCCAAACCAAGGAGAAUACCAACGUGAAUUGUCUUUCCACCUGUUGUGUGGGGCCAGCAAUUAUUCUUUUAGCUUGACGCGUUAACCCACCUGCUCCCUGUGGCCCUGGGAUGCUCUGCCAUCCCCCGUGGCUGCCAGUUCACUUAGGGUAGACUUAUGGCAGAGGGAUGUCAAUUUUGCUUGAACUGCUCAAUCACUGCUGACAUUUCGUUAACCACCCUAUGAACUUCUCAAGCCUGAAGUAGCAGCAACUUGUGCCCUUGAAAACUGAACAGAAAACAACUGUAUUGAUUUUCUACUAUCAACAAGAAAAAGACAAUUUCUCUUUGCUGAGAAUGUUCAUAAUGCAUUUUACACCACUUAUUCUCGGCAGUCCACCUCUUCCUGAUAUAUUGUUGGGCCUCUUUAAACCCCUGCUGCUUUAGACUCUGCUAGAAUUAACCCUGAAAUGCCAGCACCAUCUCAAGCCCUUCCAGUUCCCGGAUAGAAAUGUUCAUCAGUGCUGAAUUGACAGCCUACUUAGGCAAGGGAGCUGUGAUCAUUUAGAAAUUACAAAGGAACUCAGGCCUGGGUGAAGGGUUUGGGGUUGGGACACUAGGAAUCUCUUUUAGUAAAAUUCUCUUUUAAAAGAACAUAUCUCUUUGGUUUGUUAAAAGCACUAAUGAUGUCUAUAUGAUAUUUUGGAGAUAUAUCAGCAUAUACACUGACCAAACUGAUUGAAUAGGAAGUAAUUUUCAGUAAUUUUUACCACUCAUGCAACCAUUCUUGCUAACUCAAGACCCAAGAUUUAACUUGUGUAUGAUUAUUCCAAAUUACCAGGCCUUUCUUUUCUUUUUCAACCUGCAUUAAAAAAAAAAAAAAAAAAAAAAAAAAACUAUCAGGCAUGCCCUAAUAGUUCCAUUUUUUUUGAAAUUUCCAACAUACCAAAAAGAGACUCCAAGGAACUGAAAGAGAUUCAAGAAGCUUGAAAAAGCAAGCCUGACCCUCUGGGACAACUGUAGUGUCAAAAGCAGUCAAUAUUUAUGCCUAGCAACCUUGACAAUAUCCUUUUAAUUAAAAUCAAUGGAGAAAUAAAACAUGCAUUAGAAUGCACGUGGGAUCACUCACCUCACGAGACAGAGAAGGAAGACUCUGAUAUUAUGCACGAUGUGAUUAUGACAAGACGCUGGAUCUUCUGUAUGAGACAUGGGUUCUGGUAUUUGCAAUUAGAUCUCUUCUUUUGACGGUU
rnacentral:lncRNA from 1 species